rnacentral:rRNA from 1 species
CCUACGGGUGGCAGCAGUGGGGAAUAUUGCGCAAUGGGCGAAAGCCUGACGCAGCGACGCCGCGUGAGGGAUGAAGGUCUUCGGAUCGUAAACCUCUGUCAGCAGGGAAGAACGGUCACUGUGCUAAUCAGCAGUGCAUUGACGGUACCUGCACAGGAAGCACCGGCUAACUCCGUGCCAGCAGCCGCGGUAAUACGGAGGGUGCGAGCGUUAAUCGGAAUUACUGGGCGUAAAGCGCGCGUAGGCGGUAUGUCAAGUCAAGGGUGAAAUCCCCGCGCUCAACGUGGGAACUGCCUUUGAAACUGGCAAACUGGAGUGUAGGAGAGGAUAGUGGAAUUCCAGGUGUAGGGGUGAAAUCCGUAGAUAUCUGGAGGAACAUCAGUGGCGAAGGCGACUAUCUGGCACAUAACUGACGCUGAGGCGCGAAAGCGUGGGGAGCAAACAGGAUUAGAUACCCGGGUAGUC